rnacentral:rRNA from 1 species
UCGGGAAUUUUGGGCAAUGAGGGAAACCCUGACCCAGCAACGCCGCGUGAAGGAUGAAGUAUUUCGGUAUGUAAACUUCGAAAGAAUAGGAAGAAUAAAUGACGGUACUAUUUAUAAGGUCCGGCUAACUACGUGCCAGCAGCCGCGGUAAUACGUAGGGACCAAGCGUUGUUCGGAUUUACUGGGCGUAAAGGGCGCGUAGGCGGCAUGACAAGUCACUUGUGAAAUCUCUGGGCUUAACCCAGAACGGCCAAGUGAUACUGUCGCGCUAGAGUGCAGAAGGGGCAAUCGGAAUUCUUGGUGUAGCGGUGAAAUGCGUAGAUAUCAAGAGGAACACCUGAGGUGAAGACGGGUUGCUGGGCUGACACUGACGCUGAGGCGCGAAAGCCAGGGGAGCAAACGGGAUUAGAUACCCAAGUAGUCCCUGAGCGGGCUGGCAAGGCGCAU